rnacentral:rRNA from 1 species
GACGGAGGGUGCUAGCAUUGUUCGGAAUUACUGGGCGUAAAGGGCGCGUAGGCGGCUUAUUAAGUCGGGUGUGAAAGCCCAGGGCUCAACCCUGGAACUGCAUCCGAGACUGGUAGGCUCGAGACCGGGAGAGGAGAGUGGAAUACCCAGUGUAGAGGUGAAAUUCGUAGAUAUUGGGUGGAACACCGAUGGCGAAAGCGGCUCUCUGGCCCGGAUCUGACGCUGAGGCGCGAAAGCGUGGGGAGCAAACAGGAUUAGAUACCCUGGUAGUCCACGCCGUAAACUAUGAGAGCUAGACGUCGGGCGGCUUGCCGUUCGGUGUCGCAGCUAACGCAUUAAGCUCUCCGCCUGGGGAGUACGGCCGCAAGGUUAAA